rnacentral:rRNA from 1 species
AAAGUUGAAAAGUACUCUGAAGAGAGAGUAAACAGUACGUGAAGCCGCAUGCAGGUAAACGGGUGGCGUCAAGCUGCGAGCUCGGAGAAUUCAGCUGACUGGGAUGUAGUGAACGUGCCUGGUGCGUCCAG